UACGUAGGUGGCAAGCGUUGUCCGGAAUUAUUGGGCGUAAAGCGCGCGCAGGCGGUCCUUUAAGUCUGAUGUGAAAGCCCACGGCUCAACCGUGGAGGGUCAUUGGAAACUGGGGGACUUGAGUACAGAAGAGAAGAGUGGAAUUCCCUGUGUAGCGGUGAAAUGCGUAGAGAUGGGGGAGAACACUCGUGGCGAAGGCGGCCAGCUAGACCAGUUCUGGACACUGAGGCGCGACAGCGUGGGAGCAAACAGG
rnacentral:rRNA from 1 species